UCCCACACUUACAGAAAUACCUUAAAGAAAAUAUAUAAUUAUAUAAUACCAAGUAACACUAAUGGGUGGCUUCUUAGAUAUUUUUAUACUGGAUGAGGAUUGGCUCAUCGCCGAAACUUUUAAUCUGGAGCAAUAAGAAGUAUAAUGGAAAUAGACAUAUGAGGAAAAAGAGAUUGAAGAAGACUGAAAAAGAAAUGGUUGGCAAUACAAUUGGCAAUGAUACGUAGAUGCUAG